GCGGACGUGGCGCAAUUGGCUAGACGCACAGGACUGAGGCUCCUGGGAGAUUUUCUCCAUGUGGGUUCGAGUCCCACCGUCCGCA
rnacentral:tRNA from 1 species